UGAUAACGGUGAACAAAAACAUUUAAAUGUUUCGGGAAUAGAGUUUAUUAAUUCAUUUGUAUUUCACAAUUCCGAAAAUGUUCUCAACUUUCGAAUUUCAAAUAAUUCGCGCCAGAGUACAUCUUGCACCUACACCGCUCCCUUUCGCCAAGUUCACUAACGUUCGAAUAAUCUCGUUACCAGUUGCAUUUUCGUGGUUUUGAAUUUACAUACAAUAAUUUCUCGUUUUAUCUAAUUAUCGUGAUAAUUUCUUAUAGUGGAUGUAUUUAAAUUUUAUCAGAGUAUAUUUUAAACUGGCAUCAUGCAAUAACCAACGAUUAUUUAAUAAAAGAAAGUAAUACAUGUUGACUAUAAUAUGUAUUACUAUCUUUUUCGAGUUUAACAGAGUCGUUGAUGACGUACUUCCUUCUUGUUCACUUUAUCACUUUUCACUGGUGUACUGCAUUUUCUACCGUUCGUAGAUGUUAUGUGCAUUUUUGAUAAAAAAAAUUGGAAAGAGUAAUGGUACAUACAAAAUUUGUAUCACAAUAGGUUCUGGAAUUACGAUUUUAUCCGUGAUGUACUUUGGAAUAGACUGUUUCCAGCCUUUACCAAUGCCAAAUACUGUUUCGUCCAGCUGUUCAACCUACACACAGACGAUGCAUUUCUUUUUGUCUUUGUUUCCAAGAGAUUGACUUUGAAUGAGAAGGAGAAAGACAACACUGAAGUUGAUUUGGAUGUUAUGCAGCAACCAGUAUCUACAAUGGUAUUGUGGUUUUUUCUGGACUUUGUAUUCUGUUGUUGUCCUCAUCUUGCAGCAUUAUGCAGUUAAGUUUGGGCCGAUGAAAGAGAACAACGGGAAAUUUUUUUUAAAAGCACUAAACGUGUUACCAUUCUUCCUGGGCUUGGCUUGCCCUUCACACUUGUAAAACUUUGGAACAUUGCAUUCUACAGUUAAUUAAGAUUGAUCAAGUAAGAAAAUUAAAGUUCAUGUUGGUUGCAUCUAAAUAACCAAUUUCUACAUUGGAGGCAUAAUGCAGUUAAUUUUGGGCUGAUGAGAUAGAACUGGAAAUUUAUUUGGAAACCAAACAUGUCAUUGUUCGUUCAUUUGACUUGCUCUUCACACUUGUAAAACUCUGGAACGUUGCAUUCUUCAUUUAUUUAAGGUGAGAAUAUAUGAUGUGAUUGGUAUUAAUGUUCUUUAUUAAUUUGUUUUGGUGUUUAUUUUAAUAUCUACUGUUCUUAGCACAAAUUGAGGUUAUCGUACAUCUAUGGUAAUUCAUUCAGCAGUUAUCUAUUGUCCUUAGUAAAUUGACAUUGUUCAUUUUUGUUCAUAAAAUAAAUUGAGAUUGUGAAUCUAUGAUUGUUUCACAUUUAUCUAUGCUAUGAUGUAAAUUGACAGUUGUUGCCAUCUUAUAAUUCUGUCAUUUUAUUUGCGUUUUGAUGCAUAUUUUGUUGUAUUUCGUAUCUUAUUUAUGUGACAGUGUAAUUAAUUAGUACUUUCUUUUAGGUGUUUAAUGCCUUCCG